GUAAAAGCAAACAUGGUAUUUAAUUAAAAAUAUUAAAUUGACCUUAAUCAAUUUUUAUCAACCUGCUAUUAACACUCACUUUUAGUAAGUUACUUGUACUUUGAGGUUGAAAAAUCUUACCAGCUCAGUCUGCUUGAGCUGGAUUAAUUUAGAAAAAGUAAGUUUAUGACACUGUGGGCAUGCGCAGAUCAAUCAAUCAUCCCCAACCAAUCAAGCUGCUUCGUAAGGCGGGUCUUGGCGUGGCGGGAUUCGUAAUUUUGCAAACGGUAGAUGAAGCUGGAUAUCAUUGAGCUGGACCUAAACAUCGCUUCAACGGCACUUGUGAUUAUCGUCAGCAUAACAGCGAUUCUUGUGCUUGGCACACUCAUUUGUUUCCUUCCAGGCACAAGCAUAUGGUGAUCAAUCCACACAUUCCAUAAUCCCAGCAAUAAAAGAUACUGUGGGUUCGAUUUAUAGUCCAUCAUACCCAGGACAACAGUUCCCUUGAUGUCUAACCACAUAAGCGAAUUUUCAAACAGUUAUCAAAAUGGACCAGAGGUUGUUACUGAGAGUCAUCAUCGCUGAAGAUGAUAUAACAUUGUCAUCACCCACCACAACAUUAGACACUGAGGGCAGCACAGCAGACACUGAGAUCCUGUCGCCUGUAGGAGCAUCACCAUCGCUAAGACAACAGUGGCCAGAGUUCUUUGACAUACCCAAUUAGCACAUAUCAUAGAGAGACAGGUGUUUGCUGAGUUUAAUAGAAUCGCCAGUAAGAAUCUUGAGGGAGACUUCUUUGAGGCUUUGGACCAGUAUGCCCCACGUUUCAUUGAACUUUUCAAAACAAAAUAGGGAACUGUUGGCCAGAAACUCAGGGAGCUGAUGCAGCACAUGAGCUGGAUGACACCAGACGACACAGUACUUCGCUCUGUUGUCCUCAAAGGCAUUCCCAUUUUACUCGGUGAUGACUCCAGUGAAUUCUACAAGACCUGCUCUGAUACAGAGAGAGACGAGGCCCUAGAAUGCAUCACUGUAGUCCUCACGAGGGUCAAAGCUCAGUGGACCUCCAGCCCAUCUCCACUGCCAUCAUUCUGGAGGGAGGUAUUCUCAUGGAUCAUGUUAAAAACUUGCCUCAGGCAGUUUGUCCUUUGUUUCGUCUUACAUAUGCAUUGCAUUUGGAUACCCAAAAUGCAUGGCAAAUACACUCAACUUCAUUCAGACUGUGAUGCUUGGACUGGUAAAGAAAAACCUCCCACCAAAACUGUUAACUCCUGAAGAACAGUCUUCUGGGUUAGAACAGUAAAGAGCCGUUGGCUGUCAGAUAGCACUUUGUAAGCUUUGCAGCCAUUAAUGUUCUCCCUUUUAUCAGAGAAAGUUUGAUGCUUUCAUGGAACUGUUCUCGCUUAUUUACGUUCUCAAUGGAAAAAAAAAAAGAAUAUUCCAUUAAAGUCUACCAUGUUAUGCAGGUAUGCUAAUGGUGGAAAUAGUGCCAUGUUGUGUUGCAAUGAGUUGUUAGAUGUUAUUAGAUGAUAAUGUCAGAAAAUAACCUAGCAAGGUUAUCCUGUUUACAUUUGUGUUUUGGGAAAACUUUUAAUGAUGUUUUUAUUUGUUUUGGUUUAAUCCUUGGACUGCUCACUUUGGGACACAAAAGUAUGUUGUACUUUCGGUUUUGAUCAGAAAUGCACUGAUUUUGCAUGCACUGAAGUCGUCCUGUAGUUACCUGUUUAAUAUUGGGAGACAUGCAUACAAUUAGCUCACAGAAAUGUUUUUAUUUUAUUUUUUUAUAUAUUUUUCCAUGUCAUUUUAUACAGUUAAAUCAAACCACAACUUUGUUGUUUAGCUGCUGUUUUGUACUUGAAUGUGCAUUGAAUAAAUUUUGUAAUGGAGCUGAA